GCAACUAUGAAGAAGAAAACUCUCGCCUUCUCCCUCGAGCACCAGAACAAAACUCUCGAGCAAAUUUCUUGCCGGAUCUCCCAUCUCUCUAAUCAAAAGCCAAUCUCCAUCUCUCAUCUCUCAUCUCUCUUCGACAAACGCAGAACCACCUAUCCCCAUCUCUAUCUCUUCAAUAAAUACAGCCAAACCAUCCAAACUAGCCAAACCAUCUCAGUCUCUCCAAACCAGUCAAACGUAUUGGUUCCCUAUUGUUGACUCAUCUCGGAGCCCCUUUUACUUGAUCGACUCGAGUUCUCUCUGGUCCUUCUAGAUGAAGAACACACCCAAAAUACCAAAUCCCCAAAUCCAUCUGUGAUUAGCGAAUCUGGAAUUCAGGAACAUCGCACUCAAACUCAACCCCAAAAGUCAACAACGCAAGGUUAUCCAUCUCUCCUCUCGCCAUCGCCACCCAUUUCUCUUUUGUCGCUCGCACACGCUUAAUUAGUUUGGGUCUACUUCUUGCUCGCAAUCGCUCUCAAGGUUCUCCAUCUCUGCUUUACAUUCUGCUUCAUUUAUAGAUCUGGUUUGUUUUCCCUUGAUUUCUGGAUAUAGUUUGGUUUGUUUUCAAUUCAGUUUGCCUAGGGUUUAUAUGAUUGCAUUUGGGUUACAAGAUUGGGCUUUUUAUUUAGUCAUUUCCCUCUCUCUCGACCCCUCAAGCUUGUUAAAGCUUCAAUUUUUGUGGAUUGUAUGUUUCAUUGCUAUCAUAUCUAUUUGGAUUUUUCUCUCUCUUCUUUUUUGCCUGGUUGUAGGUUGAAUUGUUCUGGUGAUGCUGAUUGAAAUUACUCGUGAAUAUGUAUUUGAGGUAUUGUAACAUUUCUACAUUCCCCCAUGUUAUUAGUUAUCAGAUUAGGUAGUUCUGAUGUUGACUGAUCGAGCAUCGCCGUAGCCAUUUGUCAUUCAGAAUACAAACAAGUAGUAACUCCGAUCCAGCAGGUGUGCUCAUUUUUAUCUACCACCCUAUUUUUAUUUUGACAUAGCAAAGUCUUUUACUCUUCUUAUGGUGGUUUAAGGCUGCAGAUUGUUUUUGCAUAUUAGUAAGUUUGCAUCCUAUAGAUGCAGACUGUUUUUGCAAGGCGGAUUGAUAUCUAGUGAUGUCAAGUGAAGGUCCUCUUGGUGCUUAUGUGAACCCCAGUGGUUAUUAACACGAGAUAGUGGCUCUCUACGCAACUGGCUUAGCACUCAUAGGUUCAGCAGUGAAAGAAUACAGCUGAUUUCCUGGGUAGGACCUUACCUUUGAAACCAUAUAGUGUGAUUCCAAGUUAUUCAGGUAAUUACCAAACUUUGGGGAGUUUGUAAUACUAGGAUGGAACAAAUGCAAAAAUGCAGUUUAUGAUUAUUGGAAAUUGGAACUUAUGUCUUAAUCAUAAUGUUACGUGGAAUGACUGAAGGAUUCAGGUAUAAUAGAAAAUGGUAUCUUGCUGCAAGGAUUAUGAAUCUAAGGCAAUUGAUUAUGUUAUUCCUUUUCAAAUCCCUAGGAAUUCUGUCACUUUAUAGUACUUCAUGGUUUUUUGUUACCUAAUAAUCAAUGUUUUUAUGCUGCUAGUUUCUAUAUACUUAAUUCACUGAACUCUUAGUUCAAACACGCAAUGAGCUUGUCACCUUAUUAUCAACUUUAAAUAUCUUCUCUUCCUGCUUGUUCAUUUUCAGGGCUCAGACCUUUGCAUGAUGGAUGUGUUGGACUAUAUCGUUUGAUGCAUUUAGGUUGCUGGUGUUUCUGUUUUGUGUUGGGACUGGGUAGCUCAAGACUACAUAAUGAAGGUUCGAUGUUGGAUAAGGAGUCCAGAAGUUCAAAGCGGGCGACAAAGUUGUAGCAUUUCACCAUGUGAGAAGAGCCUCUGCUUCAGAAUUGGAAUGAACAGAAGUAGUAGAAGAAAAUGCUAAUUAACAACUGAAGCUGCUCAAGGGACAAGGUUGUGUUAACUACUUGUUUCUAUGUACUUAUUAUGUUAAGAUAAUGUAUUGAUGACUUGUACAUUUGGAGUUGUUAAUAUGAAAAGAUCAAUAUAUAUAUAUAUACAUAUGAAACUGUUUCUUUGCCAA